GACGAACGCUGGCGGCGUGCCUAAUACAUGCAAGUAGAACGCUGAAGGAGGAGCUUGCUUCUCUGGAUGAGUUGCGAACGGGUGAGUAACGCGUAGGUAACCUGCCUGGUAGCGGGGGAUAACUAUUGGAAACGAUAGCUAAUACCGCAUAAUAGUAGAUGUUGCAUGACAUUUGCUUAAAAGUUGCAAUUGCAUCACUACCAGAUGGACCUGCGUUGUAUUAGCUAGUUGGUGGGGUAACGGCUCACCAAGGCGACGAUACAUAGCCGACCUGAGAGGGUGAUCGGCCACACUGGGACUGAGACACGGCCCAGACUCCUACGGGAGGCAGCAGUAGGGAAUCUUCGGCAAUGGACGGAAGUCUGACCGAGCAACGCCGCGUGAGUGAAGAAGGUUUUCGGAUCGUAAAGCUCUGUUGUAAGAGAAGAACGAGUGUGAGAGUGGAAAGUUCACACUGUGACGGUAUCUUACCAGAAAGGGACGGCUAACUACGU
rnacentral:rRNA from 1 species